UACGUAGGGGGCAAGCGUUGUCCGGAAUUAUUGGGCGUAAAGAGCGUGUAGGCGGCCCGGCAAGUCCGCCGUGAAAGUCCAGGGCUCAACCCUGGAAUGCCGGUGGAAACUGUCGGGCUUGAGUUCGGAAGAGGCGAGUGGAAUUCCUGGUGUAGCGGUGAAAUGCGCAGAUAUCAGGAGGAACACCAAUGGCGAAGGCAGCUCGCUGGGACGACACUGACGCUGAGACGCGAAAGCCAGGGGAGCGAACGGG
rnacentral:rRNA from 1 species